GGGGCCGUAGCUCAGCUGGGAGAGCGCCUGGUUUGCAACCAGGAGGUCGGCGGUUCGAGCCCGCUCGGCUCCA
rnacentral:tRNA from 1 species